GAAUAGACAAUAUCGUUACGAUAUUUUUAUAUUUUAAAAUGUAUACAUACAAUCGAUAUACAAUAUACAAAGUGUUCAAUAAGUUUGGUUUGGAAACGACGGUUUUUUAGACCGCUAUUGAUUUUUUUAAUAAUUUUUUUUUUUUAGAUGCUAAUUGAAUAAUUAAAUGCAUUUUGACUGAUUACCACUAAAGUUCAACCCUAAUGCAAAAGAGUAGUAAUCAAGGUAUAUUUCUACUUAAGAAGACAGAAUUGGCCAAGUCGUUUUUGUUGUUUAAAAGCAUCGAUUUUGAGUUUGCGAGCACAUUUUGCCACAGUAAAAACUAAUCAAUGUGCAAUUCCGUAGACAAGAUAAUCAUAAAUUGCCUGAUUAUUGUUGCUUGGUUUAUCUUAGCGAUCGUAUUUGACCGUGAAACGAUCAAUAGAUAUUGUCGAAUCGAUACUGUACCUCAUCAACGGGGAUUUAUUGAAUAUCGAUAAAAAUAUGAUUUACGAUUGCAUUUCUUUCGCGUUUACGAAUGAAAUUAGAUCGUUGUUGUGAAACGUGUGCGUUAUUAUCAAAUUAAACAUGUCAGUCGAAAAUUGACUAAAAUAUUUUAUUUGAUAAUUAUUAUAACCGUUCGUUUGCUGUUAUCGGUCAAAAUGAUUUUAACGCGUGUUUAUCGUUUAAAAUUUAAAUGUUUUAUGAUAUAUUCAAAUUGACUUUUCAAUUUUUCUAACUCUUUACAAUUUUCGUAAAAAUCACAAUCGAUUCGAGAUCGAUUAUUACAACAGUCGUAAUAAUAUCUCAAAUCGAUCGACAAUAGUACAACAGUUACUAUUGUGGUUUUGUGCGCGAGUUCCAUUCUCGUGCUGUGCAUUUGUUUACAUUUGUUGCUGUGGCGGCGGCGGCGGCGCUCCGAAAAGCGGAAUGCAAAUAAACCGCCGAACAAACACAAUUGGAACGUCUCGAAAACACGGCGAUAUAUACGGACCCAUUGGGCGCAUCUGCCCAGUUUCGUCGGCGACGAGGGAAGAGAGCCAAUAUUCGAGACUAGCUAUCAGCCGCUUCAUCGGAUAAAAAAUGUCAAGGCUGGCAUCGACGAUUCUACUGGCUUUUUUUGUCGCCUGUUAUACUGCGAAAGGAGACGUCCAGUGUCCCGUUUGUACGAAUGAAGUCCCGCAAUGUUGCACGAUACACAAUUGCGGGCACAAAUUUUGCAUCGUGUGCACGACUAAAAUUUUGAGUGUGAAUUAUCCUACGUGUCCGUUGUGCAGGAGUUCUAUUAAAAGAGCGACGGGUACAGGUGCGUACGAACAGGAGCUCAGCGAUUUCAAGAGAGCCGUCCUCAACAACCAGACUACCCCCCAGAUGAUAAUCGCGCGCUUCUAUCUGCUGCCGCCGUGGCAGGUGCCCGACUCGACGAUGCUGCUCGAAGUCAAAGCGCGCUCGUACAACAAAGUGGUCCGGUGCUUGUUGAUUCAGAGGAUACGCAAUAACUUGGACGGUUAUUCCUUGGUGGAGGACGUGGCGGAACGCAGCAAGUUGUUUAGCGCAAGGCCCAACAAAGUGGAAUCCGACAUACUGUCGGCGUACUACGAGAGGUGCAAUUGCUUGGUGCACGUGGAGAUGAUGAGAAGAAACAACGCGUACGGAACGCUCUUGCAGUGACUCUCGGCGGCGCUAUUGUAUUUUCAAAAAGAUAAUUUAUCUCGAUAAAAUAAUAAAAACGUAUCUUUCCGUUGCGUA